GUGGCUCGGGCAUCUGUUUAGGAUGCCUCGUGGACGCCUCUCUCGGGAUGUGUUCCUCCUCCCGGUGGAAGGAGGCCCAAGGGAUGGCCCAGGACACGCUGGAGGGACUAUGUCUCUCGGCUGGCCUCGGACCACCUUGGUCUCCCCCCGGAGGAGCAGGAGGAGGUGUCUGGGGAGAGGGAAGUCAACAACAAGAGACAAGAGAGAUUUUUUAAUGCCGAUGUAAUUAAAUUACUUUUUUAUCCAGAGAUUAAAAAUAAGAUUAAGAAUUUUGUUUUAAGAUGUUAUUGGGGUGUCGUAAUUAUUUCUUACAACUGUGCGUUUCGGAGGACAAAUCUUUGAAUGGGAUGCAAGUAGUAUAUGUUCCCGGUGUUUGGCACCCUGUUUAACAAAUUUACUACCUUCUAGGAACAGGUGAUACUGACAUGUUAGCUCUUUUAGGACGUGAUACACUUACAAGAUGAAAUUCAAAGGUACUAUGGUUUCUCUUGAAGGAUUGGCUGAAAUCCUAAAUCAGUGGACGAGUCAAAGCAUGUUUUAAUCUAUGUUACUCUCAAGCUUUGUGAGGAAUAAAGGGAAAUUAAAAGCAGAAACAGUCAGACAUCUAACAGUAUAACAGUUUUCCCAACUGGCAUAAAUAACUAUCAUUUAGGUGUUCCUAUCUAUCUAUUUUUGUUAUUUAUUUAUUGUUUUUUUAAGAGCUGCCAUAACACUAUAACAUUGGCACUACUUUAAUACAGAAGACUAAGAACAUUUGGUUUUAAAUUGCACUUUUAAACACAGUUUGAACAUUGUUUUAUAGUUAUUCUAUGUUGUCUUGAACUAACUCCCGGGACCUAUUCCUUAUUGUUUAUAAGUGCCCUUCUUCCUUGUUUCAUGUAGGCUAUCUUUUGUGUAUAGUAUUAAUAUAUUCCCCUGAGAGUUCAUUGUUAUUGUUGGGGCUGGAGUUUUUUGUUAUGCGUUUGACUGUGUUUUGACUCCUAGUAGGCGCUAGUGCUCAGCAGUGGUGGAGACAGGUGUUUUCCAUCCCGGUGAUUGAGUCCUGGAGUACUUAAGCAGGAAGAGGCCAGCAUCUCAUCGCUUGAGUAUUAGCCUCUGUGUGAACUGAACCGGCGACUACCUGGAGGUUACCCAGGCUGGCCCCGGUGGCUUCGUUCCCAAGCUAACCUUGUUCCAAGGACCUUCCAAGGACUAAACCAGUGACUACCUGUAGGUUACCCAGGCUGGCCCCGGUGGCUUCGUUUUGCACUAGUUUCGUUCCAAGGACAUCCCCAGGACAGAUCUACAACACACACCUACCCGUCGCUGAACUCUGGAUUUUCCCCGGCUGGCUGCUUCCGGACUCAGAUCUCUGGAGCUCAUUCAACCUAACCUGUCCACCCUCCACCUCGCCUGCACUUCAAGCUCUGGCCCUUGUAACCAAGGAAUCAUUGGACUUACCAUUGUUUCCUCCUUCACUUCUUCUCCAGUCUAAAUCCCUCUUCUCCUGGUGGAUUGCCUACCUCCUCCUAUUGUUCCGGCUCACCAUACCGCUCCAGUCACCUUAAAUAAACUUUUCAAACUUGUACCUGUUUCCCUUGAGCGUGAUUCUGCAUGAAUUCUUUUUUGAAUAAUGUAGUAAAGACAAAAAUUCAAUCUGGGAGACUCGCCUCUCAUCCAGCUUCACCCAAUGGCUUCUCCGUGCGUCUCCACGCCAACCAAUCACCUUCAAGUCUGUAAUAUCCUCAGCCAAUGAUCCUUCAAGGCUCCGCAUUUAAAUUCUCCCAUUCAUGGAUCUCUCUGCUGUCAGUCGAGCUUUGACUCUCCUCCACCCCAUCGCCUCCAUCGGAUUCUCAGUUCCAUUACCAUCAGGCCUCCUCUCCAUCAACAGUACAGAUCUGGGGGGAAGACAAUUCCAAUUCAUCAGUUCAUGCAUUAUCAGCAUUCAUGUCUUCUUCUGGGGUCUGAGCGCCAAACAAAUAAA